rnacentral:rRNA from 1 species
GACGAACGCUGGCGGCGUGCUUAACACAUGCAAGUCGUACGGUAAGGCCCUUUCGGGGGUACACGAGUGGCGAACGGGUGAGUAACACGUGAGUAACCUGCCCACAACUUUGGGAUAACGCUAGGAAACUGGUGCUAAUACUGGAUAUGUGCUCCUGCUGCAUGGUGGGGGUUGGAAAGCUCCGGCGGUUGUGGAUGGACUCGCGGCCUAUCAGCUUGUUGGUGGGGUAGUGGCCUACCAAGGCGGCGACGGGUAGCCGGCCUGAGAGGGUGACCGGCCACAUUAGGACUGAGAUACGGCCCAGACUCCUACGGGAGGCAGCAGUGGGGAAUAUUGCACAAUGGGCGCAAGCCUGAUGCAGCAACGCCGCGUGCGGGAUGACGGCCUUCGGGUUGUAAACCGCUUUCAGCAGGGACGAAGCUUUUUGUGACGGUACCUGCAGAAGAAGCACCGGCUAACUACGUG